rnacentral:lncRNA from 1 species
ACUGCUUUACGCCUUCUGCUCCGGCCAUGCCACAGUUGUAUGAAACUCAUCCAUGGUCCACCUGUGUGCUGGUGGCUGGUCAUAUAAUCCAAUGAUCAUCUCAGCCGUCGUCACCUGCCCUCUGUGAAGGGCUUCCAUCCGGGCCUCCAUCAUGGACAUAUACAUGUCCCUCAUCUGGAAGGGCUCCGCGUGCUGAGCUGGUACCUCAUCGGGCACCUGCUCCUGCUGAGCAGUAGCUCUCCUACGCCGU